rnacentral:rRNA from 1 species
UGGGUAACCUGCCCCUCUCUCUGGGAUAACCCCGGGAAACCGGAGCUAAUACCGGAUACUCCGGCUGGAUUGCAUGGUCCGGCCGGGAAAGGUCCGCCGGAGAGGGAUGGGCCCCGCGGCCUAUCAGCUUGUUGGUGGGGUCAUGGCUCACCAAGGCGACGACGGGUAGCUGGUCUGAGAGGACGACCAGCCACACUGGAACUGAGAUACGGUCCAGACCUCCGUACGGGAGCA